GGGGGGUUUACAGUUCUCGACCCUUUGUUUAAUCAGUUCUUGCUAUAAUUGAUAGGCGAGAUAACUGGUGAAGAAUGUAGGUGUUGAUGCUAUUCUCCUUUUUUUUUCUUGAUAGCGAAUAAAUCUUUUGUGUAGGUUUCACAUAUAAGUUGAUGGCAUCCUUGCUCAAACGUGCAAGGGAGCAGUCUCACCUCUUUCAACUUCCAUCCUGAACGGGAAAGGGGCUCAACGCAAGAAAAUAAUCCUGGAGGUGCAACACUUCCUUGAGGAAAGAGAAGGUCAAUUGGCUCUAAGUUGGGUGGUGGGAGAAAGGGAGCCGAGGGUCUAUUGAAAAUAGUCUCUCUAUCUCUACGAGGUAGAGUUAAGGGCGGUUUGGGAUUACACUGGGUACGUUGCUGUUGUUGCAAUGGGGAUGUUUCAUGUAGUAUUCAACGAAUGAUGAAGUCUUCCUUCUCAAAAAGGUAAUAAUAAUGAGGUCACAAAAUGUCUGAUUGUGAUCUUGCUUCUGUCUGGCACUGAUCUGUUACAUUUCCAAAUAGGGUCGAAUCUUUAAUCGGCCUAGUUGAUCAAUACUAGUUGGCCCCUUGCUUCUUGCACAAUUUUAGAUUUUCACUCAAACAAUAAACCUUUUCUCUUUAUUUGGUUUUACGUUUCGAUGUUGCAAAGAUCUAUUGUGUUGAAUGCGUUGUAUGCAGUUUGGAUCUUCUUUUUAUCUUUUUCUUCUCUUUUUCAUUUUUCGUUUAUGCAUCUAUAUAUGAUCCUUAAUAUCAUGCAUGUUUGGUAAUCUUAUUAAUGUUAAUGCAUUUUUGAACUUCCUCUGUAUGUUUUGCUUUUAAUUGACCUUGGUGUAUAUGUUAUGUAUUGUGCUUUGAUGUUCAUUUGCCUUUAAGUACGAUCCCAAUUAAUUUCUAGCUGAUUUUAGAGUAGAUUUUCUUUAAAGAAAUGUAGGCCAGGCGGUUGAAUUGAUUCUUCAAAUUUGGGAGAAAAGGAACAACUUAUUGACAAAUGUUUUGUGGCACCCAAGGGUGUGGCCUAGUGUUUAGUGGUUGAGAACCCUAAGGUCUUAGAUUCAAAAGUCAGCGGAGACAAAAGAACACUAGGUGAUUCUUCCCAUCUAUCCGAGCCUUGUAUGUUAUAGAUUUAUAGUAUAUAUGUGGCAUGAAUUUGCAUAAAGUUAUCAUAAUCCGGACCUUAUAAUGAUUAGCUAAUGAUUAAAGGACAAAGGAUUUGACAAUGAUUGGUAGUUAGUGAAAUUGGAUUUGUAAUAUUAGCUUUAAAAUCUACCGUGAGAAAACCAUAUUUUUUUCAAUGAUGCAGUUUAAAUUUCACCACUUCUAACUAGAAGACAUUAGGAUUAUGUGGUGAUUGGAUAAUAAUGAAAGAGAGAGAUAUGACUAUAGUAAUGAUUGUAAAUGUAAAAGUAAAAAUAGUGACUUCAUUAGCAUGAGGAACGACUUAUUACAGUAUUUGAAGCUCUUCUGUUUUGGCAAUUAUGAGGUUUAGCAUUCUUAGAGAAUUUUAAUGUUUAAGUCACUGUGAUGGCUAUUUGAAGCAACUGGCUAUGCACAUUAGUUCCCCGCAAUUUAUGGUUUUCACUUAGAUUUGUUUUUACGCAGUUGGAGUACUUUUUUGGAAUAUAAGUGUUGAUAUAUUGGACUGAAUUUUCUCCUAUUAAGUUUCAACAGUGAAGCUAAGAUAUUUUACCUUUUAAUUCAUGGAUUAAGGUGUGAGAUGUUAAGGUUUAGCUCACUCCUUAGUCCUUACCUACAUGUCUAUGCAGAUAUUUUUGUGGAGGGUAAGACUAGUGAGGAACGAGUCCGUUCGCGUCGAUUCUGUUGUUGAGGUGAGCCCUUCCAUUAUUCGUGGAGGUUGCCGUUUCAUCUCUAUCUAUUUUAUAGUAAAUUUCUUUUCUUGGGGUUUGCAUGCCUGGCAACUAACCUCAUAUAGUCCUAUUAGAUGCUCCAUGGUCUUAUUGUGGGAUUUGGGCUAGAUAAUUAGUCUUUGAGUAAUCGUUGAGUUAAUAGAUUGAUUAUGGAGUUUUAUUGGAUUAUUUUUCUCCAUGCAUUGAUUAUUAUUUAUUUGCUAGACUUGCACAAAUUGCUCAAAGUGCUUGCAUAAUUGGGUAAGUAAAUGGAUAAUUGGUUUGCCCGACAGGCGGUGUAGGUGGAUGCUAGUCAUGUCUAAGGGGUAUUUUUGGGAUGUGACAUUUAUCACACGGGUAAACCCUUUACCACUUCACAAACAAUUUCUUGUGUAAUUGUUGCAAUUGGUUUAUAUGUUGCAAAGUGUUUUUGAGUUGUUGAUGCUGUAUACAAUUGGAUCUCUAGUAGAAAGAAUGCUACGCUUAGUUGUUAUAAAUUAUUUUUAUCUUAACUUUAAUCUACUUUACAUUAUAGUAAAUUUGACUUCCCUUUAUCUUGUAGAUACCCCGACAAGUGAAAGGAGAAGAAGCGCUGUAAUGGCUGGUCACUUGGCUGAUGAGGUCUCAAAUAUGUUGAUCUACUUUUUUUUUGUAUUAGUUUCAACUUUUUUAACUUCAGUUACUGAAGGGGAGAAUAUCUGUUCCAGGGACAGCUUCCUAAUAAGUUUAAAGCAAAAAAAUCAAAUAUUUUGUGGUCAGGUACGUACUGCUUGGACCUGCGCCAAGCAACUUACGCAUUAUCCUUCUUUUAGUAGAAAUGGAACUACAAUAACUGUAAGCACUCUGUAGCAUUAAAUCAGUUUCUUGACCUCAUAUUUCUUUUCCUUCCUCGUGUAAUCUCUUAGUUUUCUGCAGCUUAAUUCCUUCACUAUAAUCACAGUCGAAAAAGAAAGUCAGUACCCAGGUUACUUGGAGGAUUUUUAUGAGAACAAAAAGGGACUGAAAAGAGUUGAGGUGCGGUGUUCUGAACAUUUUCAGGAAGUCCAUUGUGUAAUUCCAAAGCUUGAGGACCAUCUAGAGAAGUACUUAUCACGUCUCAUGUUCAGGUGAUCCGAUCCGAUUGUAUUGAUGCUCUUGCUACACUUUUGACUCCCAGAGAUUAUGAGAAAUAUAUCUCUUGUCUCACAGUUAACAAGCCCAGCUUAGGUCAAUGGGUCAUAUGUUGCACGAAGUAAAAGAUAUCACCCGAGAAGUUCCUUUAACGCAAGGACUUAAGGGGAGUAGAAGUGUCAGUGAGAGUGACCAUUCUGGUAUUAGAAAACCAAUUCCUGGUAACCAGUUAGCAAAAACUGAACCACCAACUUGCCUGAAGUUAAAGAUUAAAUUUCCCAGCGUUGGACAGGUUGGAAUUCAGUAUGCUGCCUUUUAAAGUUGGUGACAACUUGGAGGUUCUUUGCCAGGAUAGUGGCAUGAGAGGUUGCUGGUUCAGGUGUAAGGUCUUAGAGGUAUCACAAAAAUGUAUGCAAGUUCAAUAUGAUGACAUCCAGGAUUGUGAUGGUUCUGAAAAGCUCUAGGUACCUUAACUUUUGCGACCCCUAUUAAUUACUAGCCGAUUUUAGAGUAGAUUUUCUUUAAGGAAAUGUAGAAUUCUUUUUUCAUUUUGAUGGUUAUAUGCACAUGUAGAAUUUAAAUCUUAUGUGCUCAUAAAGAUUAAGAUUACCCCAUAGCCGUCUAUGGAAUUAUCGGCGUUGAACUUGGUUCUUUUAGCUGAACCCCCAGUAAAUUGUUGUAUAAGCUGCAAAGUUGCUGGUGUUUUUGAGUUGUUGAUGUUUUAUACAAUUGGAUCUUUGUAGAAAGAAUGUGAAGGCUAGUAGUUAUAGAUUACUUUUAUCUCAUCUAUCUACUUUUACAUUAUAGUAAAUUUGACUUCUCUUAUCUUCUAGAUACCCCAAGAAGUGAAAGGAGAAGUGUGUUAAUGGCUGGUAACUAGAUAGCAAAAGCCAAACCAACUUACCCAAAAUUGAAAAUAAAAUCUCGAAGCAUAGGAUCGGUUGGAAUUCAGCUUGUUGAGCCUUAAUAUAGCUGGCUUUUGAAGUUGGUGACAACUUAGAGGUUCUUUGCCACGAUAAUGGCAUGACAGGUUGUUGGUUCAGGUGUAAGGUAGGUUACAGGUAUCACAGAAACGUGUAAAAGUUCAAUAUGAUGCAUCCAGGAUUGUGAUAGUCCUGAAAAGCUCGAGAUACAUUGAAAUCAUAUGUCUAAGCCCAACAUUGUCGUAAAUUGGCUUUCUAACUCCACAAUGGAAAACAUUUUCAAUAGUAGGCCUAGCUCUUGGCUAAUUUGUUGUCCGGAGUUUUGCCUGAUGCCUCAAGUUUUUUUUUUUGUUUCAAUAAAAGGCGAGAACAUAUUAUUGGAGAAACAAAGGAAGAACGUGAGGACUUGAAGAGAUUGGAUAGAUGGCAAAUGGGUUGAAGUUGAGGGUGGAAUUUAAGAAUAAUCUUGAGGCUAUUGGCUUUGUCUUGUCGAACUUGCUAUGAUUGUGCACUAAAACAUGUGAUUAGGUGUUGUAGGAACUUUCAAGGUGAUUGGAGUCCAUUCGAGAAAAGGAUAAGCGAGGAAGCACGAAGAUAGACUGAGGAGCAAGGGAUUGUGGCGCACUGCCUGGCGCGAGG
rnacentral:lncRNA from 1 species